AAGAAUUUGACGAACGAAAACGCGGGACUUAUAAAAACGCGUGAGAUGGUGAAGAAUCUGAAAUUGUCUAAUCCUCCAAAAGUUGAACCAGCAGCAGAUAUGGAGGGGGAAGAAACCGCCAUGUUUCAUCUGUGAGUAAUAUAUAUAUAUGUGGAGAGAGAGAGAGAGAGAGAGAGAGAGUUAUAUUAUUAAUAUAUGCAAUAAUUAUCUCUCUCUCUCAAUAAUGAAUGAAACUCAAGUGAGUGAGUACGUAAAUAUGUGAUGUAAUAAUAAUAAUUGUGUGCCACGUCACUAAAUUAUUAAGGCGAAGUUGAGGAGUUGAUCUCUCAACCAGGCAUGAACUCAUCAUGUGAAGACAAGAUAUAAUGUAUAUAUACAUACAUAUAUUUUGUUGUUUGUGUU